CCUUCAUGAGGAUGUGGAUGUGGGUUUACAGAACAGAGAAUAAUGGGGGGAAUUUUAAAGAAUAGAGAAAAAUGGACCAAUAACAAAGAAUGCAGAAAAAUGAGUUGCUAAAAUAUAAAGAUUAGAGAAUAAUGGGAAACAAGUAUAAAGAAUAGAGAAAAUGGCAAAACUUUUAAAGAAUACAGAUAUGAACCACCCCCUCCUCCCCAAUCCAGA
rnacentral:lncRNA from 1 species